AUGAACGCUAGCGGCAGGCCUAAUACAUGCAAGUCGAACGGUAACAUGAGUAGCAAUACUUGAUGACGAGUGGCGCACGGGUGCGUAACGCGUAUGCAAUCUACCUUUAACUGGUGAAUAGCCCGAAGAAAUUCGGAUUAAUACACCAUAGUAUAGUUGAGUGGCAUCACUUAACUAUUAAAACUCCGGUGGUUAGAGAUGAGCAUGCGUGACAUUAGCUAGUUGGUGAGGUAAUGGCUCACCAAGGCUACGAUGUCUAGGGGAUCUGAGAGGAUUAACCCCCACACUGGUACUGAGACACGGACCAGACUCCUACGGGAGGCAGCAGUAAGGAAUAUUGGACAAUGGUCGCAAGACUGAUCCAGCCAUGCCGCGUGAAGGAUGACGGCCCUAUGGGUUGUAAACUUCUUUUGUAUGGGAAAAAACCCUUCUACGUGUAGAAGGCUGAUUGUACCAUAAGAAUAAGGAUCGGCUAACUCCGU
rnacentral:rRNA from 1 species